rnacentral:lncRNA from 1 species
CACUGUCUCCGCGGCGGGAGGUCUCCGGCCCGGCGGCGCGGUCCGCGGUGCAGCCGUGCUGGGCGGGCUGCGCGCCGCGCAUCGCCAUGUCCCCGGGCGUCCCUCUUCUGCUCGGGCUCGGUGAGCCGGCCGCGGGCGGUCCUGUGGGAGGCUGGGGGUGUGGGAAGAAGGCGCCGAGGAGGGGUUCUUAAGCGGGUUCCUCUGCUGGGACUCCCCUCUGUGAGGUCCCGGGACAGGGAACUGCAGAGGCGUCACCCGCGGGCCGCGUUUCUCCGGUUCGGUGUGGAUGUCACGCCCCAAGCUCGAGGCGUUUGGGAGCCCACUGUGUUAUCGGCCGUCUUCUCUCACCAAGUGUUUCUCUGUUUCAGUGUUUUGCCGGGACCAAGGGAUUUGGGCACAGACCGAAAGCUUCCUGAUCUCCAGCUAUUCCCCAUCGGCGCAGAUGAGUCAAGGAGGAAAUGCUCGGGUUUUGAGCUAAUGCAGAAAGAGAACACAGCUGAGAUCGACGUUCAGAACGCAGACACAGAGAACCGGGGACAUCUGCGCAGGCCCCAGACCUACCUGAAGUCUACCAAAACCCUCUUGAAGAAAGAUCCCUUGCCGUCGUGUCUGGGACUUCUGCCAUCGAGCUCCUCCCGCUCCUCUUCCUCCUCUUCUUUUUCAUCUGCCUGUGCUGCUGUGGAGGCCAACAGGGUUCCACUGAUAAUGAGACCAAGAGCCAACCGGAUUUUAACAGCUCUAACCCUGGCAUGGACUUCUCAGAAGAAAAUCCCGCCCUGAGGACUCCUCAGUAUAGCCCCGCAUGGACCCGCCUUCACUUCAUCCAGAGAGCGGAGCUGGAGCUGGCUGUGUGCCCUCCAUGGCGCAAGGGCCCCUUAAGGAGUGUGCGGAUUCUUUUACCACUGCUCCACCUGGGAAGCCCCAGUCCUCACUUUGGAGCUCCCCGAAGACUCAAGAAUACAGAAGCCUUGUCAGUCGUCAAGAAAUUCUGGGAUAUGAGAGAUGGAACUUUUCCUGCCAUAUCAGUGAACAAAAGGUAUCACAGUCAUGGGCGAUGACGGCCACCACGGCUGCUGAGCUGGUGAGCCCUGAGGGUGCUCAGGAAGGAAAGAACACAGCCAUCUAGCAGCCAUCAGACUGCGGCCACCACUGAGGGUGAGCUCGGAGGGAACUUGGGACGUGAAAACAGCAGGAUCCUGGCCCCAGACAGCUGAGGCGCGCAUCGAAGUGAUGAUUUCAGCGAGCCCGGACGCUUCCAUCUUCCCAUACGUAGAAAAGCGCUAAAUUCUCUAACUUGGGAUAGUUGGUUUUCUUUAAUUGGCGGUAGCGUUCGAGGUUCAGAUUAUCUGCCUUUUGUUGCGAAGCUUCUUUAUUACCUGGCUCCUCCCCUCGCCUCCUCUGAGCAGUUCUCUCGGGGUUACUUGAGAUGCUGCCUCCCGGGCUUGAGUCCUAAGAAUAUCUGACAAAUAAAACAUAACUCUCAACGUUUAGGUUGC